GGUGGAAGAUUCCAAAGGGAUCGCAUUGAUCCAAUAAUUCUCUCUGUCAACUUUACUAAGUUUACUUUGAUUCUCCGGAUCGGAUCAUGCCAUCUCUAUGGAAUUUUCUAU
rnacentral:pre_miRNA from 1 species